GGACAGUGAUGAUCUUUAUCAAUGGUCUCGUUCGUCGUAAUGGCUCUUUAAAGGCCUUGCCGACCAUCCUGAUAUAUCACCACCCAUAUUCUGAGUCC
rnacentral:snoRNA from 1 species